UCCAAGCAAGAUCAUUCACAAAAUGCUCACUUCACAUUCUCACACACCAUUAGAAGCACCAUCUCCUGGCAAAUGCACCAUUUAUGUGAGUGUAAAUUUCACUCUUCAACCCCAAUUACAAGAUGGCCUCAAUUAAGAGUUGCUUGUAAUUGGUGGUGUGAAGUGAAGUAAGCAAUUGGAAAAAGACCAAGGAGGAACAACCCAAUACAAGUAAAAGAGAUGAAAUCAAGUAAUCACAACAUCUAAAACGAAGUCAUAGUCCGUUCACUGGAUUUUCACCCAGUAAAAAGUAAAAGUAAAAAGUAAAAAAUAUAUUUUUAGAUAGUUAAUUUUAUUAUCUUUCCAAUUACAUAAAAAUCAUGUAAUUCGAAGUUACUAUGAGUAAGUUAUGAUAGAUUAAAAAUAGAAUAUAAAUAAUAGAAAAGUUAAGUGAAUAAUUUUUACCUCAAGGGUAACUUGCUUAAGAAAUCAGGAGUUCGAGCCUCACCAAGGCUCACCAGUAGUGUAUAUUCCCCCCCUCAAAAGGCCUUGAGGCCUUAGUCUUAUCUUCCUACCUAUACCCAAGGUGCUACAACCCAUAUGGAAAUUGUGCACCUCUCUUCUAACAAGGACUAAACUAGCUGCUGGCCUUCCUAUUUUCUGAUAGAAAAACUACUUUUUUUGCAUUUUUGACUUCACCAUGGUAUUCAAAAUCACCCA
rnacentral:lncRNA from 1 species